GAAACCUUUCAGUUAUAAACACUUAGAAAAUCUGUCUAUGACGCUUUUCAUUGCCAGAUAAAAUAGAUUAGUAUUUUGACCCCAAAAAAAGAAUGCCAAUUUAACUAUUGAUUAUGUUCUUGAGAUGAAAUAAAACCAAGUUGUUUUAUUUAUCUAGAUAAGACAGGCUUCUUUAACUCCCACUGUUUUUUUUCUCCUGCUAAAAACAUCUGGACUUCUGAAACAUCAAAACAUGCCUCUUCAGACCUGUGAAAACAACCAAUAUUAUUUAGACAGGAUAAAACAACAUUAUUUAGACAGGUGAAAACAUUAUUUAGACAGGUGAAAACAUUAUUUAAACAGGUGAAAACAUUAUUUAAACAGGAUAAAACAACAUUAUUUAGACAGGAUAAAACAACAUUAUUUAGACAGGUGAAAACAUUAUUUAGACAGGUGAAAACAUUAUUUAGACAGGAUAAAACAACAUUAUUUAGACAGGAUAAAACAACAUUAUUUAGACAGGUGAAAACAACAGAUAUUAUUUCCUUAUCCGUUAUCUCUAGUCCUCCAUCUCUCUGUCUACC
ensembl:lncRNA